AUACGGAGGGUGCAAGCGUUACUCGGAAUCACUGGGCGUAAAGCGCGCGCAGGCGGGCUGAUAAGUUGGAUGUGAAAGCCUACGGCUCAACCGUAGAACUGCAUCCAAAACUGUCAAGCUAGAGUCUGGGAGAGGAAGAUGGAAUUAGUUGUGUAGGGGUAAAAUCCGUAGAGAUAACUAGGAAUACCAAAAGCGAAGGCGAUCUUCUGGAACAGCACUGACGCUGAGGCGCGAAAGCGUGGGGAGCAAACAGGAUUAGAAACCCUAGUAGUCC
rnacentral:rRNA from 1 species